GCUGGCCACGUGUGAUAUAGACCCCGGAGCCUGUGGUCAGCAGACAUCAACAUGUUAGACCCAUGGCCUUAUGAUCCAAAACCCAAGGCUCAUGACCUUCAAGAGCCAGAAGAGGCAGCAGAUGAGGAGAUAGACAGCACUUCACCUGGGCCAGCUAAUGUCCCCCAGGUGCAUCAAGGAGAAUCCAGCCAGGGCAGAAGAGUGACCAGGGAGGCCCAUGCUGUAACACCCCAGGAGCUCCCUAAGGCCUGAAUUCCAGCCUGCACUGAGAGCUGCCACCCGGAACCUCUGGUCACCACCCUCUCAGGCUGGCAGUGGGCACUCACAUGAGAAGGACAGUGGUAACUCUGGGACUUGGUUCAAUCUGUGACCUACAUUAACACCAUGAAUGCAGCCCUGCCAAUCAGCAAGGCGGCCAGCCCAGGGGAUUCAAUUAAAAUGCUAAAUUAAUUCAAUUGAA